rnacentral:tRNA from 1 species
GGUGGGUUGUCUCAGUGGUUAGAGCGUAGGUCUCGUAACCGAAAAGUCGCGGGAUUGAAUCCCGCUAGAGAAUUUAUUU